AAAAAUCAAUUUACCGUCUCGAUGUUCCUGUAAAAUUUGAACAGACGUAUAGCAAAAAUAUAGACCCAGCAAUGUGAUCAGUUUAAUGUGAAAUCACUUAAACACAGACCAACCAUCACCAAUGUUAAUAAGUAACUAACUAUAGAUAUAAUAAAAAUAAUCAGAAACAUAUUUAAAAAUUAAACUGUUGAUUUACUGAAAAUUUUCUUCUAAUUGCCUAGUGUUUCUUCAAAAUAUUUUAUGAUGAAAGUAAAGGGUGGAAUGGCAAAUAGGAGUCGGAUGGCCUAGCCAGUCAUACAUCGCGGUUCCCAAAGUAAAUAAUUCCUGUCAUAGGGAUGGCUUAAUGUCCAACUACCCAUUGGGUGUCAUGGACGAGAGGUUAAACCACUUUACAAUACAUUCUCCAUAUUAUUCACAAUUAAAAAUCCAUGGUGCCAAGAUAAGUACUUAGGACACUAGCCUGGCAAAUACUAGUAGGAUGCCAUAACUACUCAGUCAAUGAGGCCUCCAUUUUAUGAUGUUUAAGACAUUUGAACUGAAAACAUUAAUUUAAAAGCAAAUGUCUUUACACACACACAUGAAAAAAAAAAAAAAAAAAAAAAAAAACAGAAUCGGGUGAACAAACGAACAGAACAAACAUUUGGGUGAGAUUGAUUCUUCUAUGAGUCAGAUCCUCCGAGAUCCACGUAUUGACAGUGAGACAUGAAAGUUCCUCCACCGAUGCUGCCAUUAUCUUUUAAUUAUGUUUUUUAUUGCAUUUUCAGCAUCUGGGGAAUCGUGGUGGUUAGGUCGGGAGGUUGGGAUGUCCUGGCCUUAGCCACCCCAUCAUUAGCCCUGCAGACCUAUGUAGGGGUACCCAGAAAACAACCACCGUUUAACAGAGAUGCUCCAGUUUUUAGUAUUUCUUGAACAAAAGCACAAUGAAAGUAAACUCGCUGAAGUAGUCAGUAUAUUCAUACAUUCAAGGGAGAAGGGGAGAACCCUAGCUUUGCAAAGCGCUAGAGGAAAAUGAGAAUUUCAGAGUAAAGACGAAGCACUGCUCGAAAUUGCAAUGCAUCAGCAAUGAAGAUUCUGACAUAUCUGACAGUGAAGCACUGGAAAUUCUACACAAAUCGAAUGAUUCUCAACCCCCAUGCAUUUCUGGUGCAGGAGAUGAAGACCAGCCACUGAGACUUCAACCAAAUCCUUCACUUUUAACAUCAAAGAGAUGCAAAAAUCAGAAAGGAAAAGAGGUGCACCAAAAUGUCAAGGGUGGCACAUCUAAUUAUAACAAUUAGUUUUAAU